AAAAGGACAGCAUUCCCCUGAUUGGAAAAGGUCACCAACUUCUUUUAGUGAAUUAUAACUUCUCUGAAUGGGGGAGGUCUUGGUUCUAGUCUGUAAGUCCCAAUGGAACUUAAGCAGGGGGUAGAAUUCAGCCACUCAGCCCCCAUCAGUCAUACCUGGAACAACCUCUCAAGUCACUUCAGUUCUACCUUUUCUAUGGACUGGGACUUGACCUUUUUUAAUAGCCCUUGAGUUCUGUGGUAGGAACCAGUGAGUUUAAAAAUAGUAAAAUGUCUCGAGCCCUAGCCUUUCUAAUAUAGUGAUCCGUCUCUUCUAGGCAGAGCUACCUUCGUUGUCCUGUGCAGUAAGAUUCUAGUGCAGUUGGGUGACCACUUUUGCAGAGAUGACAAGAAGUGGAUGCAUAAGCAAGAUCUUGCCACACAUUUGCACAAUAAAAAGAUGUUCAGCAUGGUUCUGUUUCCUUGUAGAUGUGCAGCUAUAAUGAGAGCCUCUGAAUCCAAUGUCAAGGUGAUGGGAUCAAGCACAGUGUCUCGUGGGCUUCUGCAGCAUAAUGGAUGCAGACAAUAUAGCAGGGGUAAUUCCUAAUGCUUGGAUCAAAUUUGUGCACCUACAUACUUUCUACACUGCAGACUGAUGACUAAAUUAAAUUGUUUUUGUACUUUUUUUAUAUCUCUACUAUUAAACAUCUUUCCUUUUGCAAAGAA